rnacentral:rRNA from 1 species
CCUACGGGAGGCAGCAGUGAGGAAUAUUGGUCAAUGGGCGUAAGCCUGAACCAGCCAAGUCGCGUGAGGGAUGAAGGUUCUAUGGAUCGUAAACCUCUUUUAUAAGGGAAUAAAGUGUGGGACGUGUCCUGUUUUGUAUGUACCUUAUGAAUAAGGAUCGGCUAACUCCGUGCCAGCAGCCGCGGUAAUACGGGGGAUCCGAGCGUUAUCCGGGUUUAUUGGGUUUAAGGGGUUCGUAGGCGGCCUUUUAAGUCAGCGGUGAAAGUCUGUGGCUCAACCAUAGAAUUGCCGUUGAAACUGGGAGGCUUGAGUAUGUUUGAGGCAGGCGGAAGGCGUGGUGUAGCGGUGAAAUGCUUAGAUAGCACGCAGAACCCCGAUUGCGAAGGCAGCCUGCCAAGCCAUGACUGACGCUGAUGCACGAAAGCGUGGGGAUCAAACAGGAUUAGAUACCCGGGUAGUC